ACUCCUACGGGAGGCAGCAGUGGGGAAUAUUGCACAAUGGGGGAAACCCUGAUGCAGCCAUGCCGCGUGUGUGAAGAAGGCCUUCGGGUUGUAAAGCACUUUCAGUAGGGAGGAAGGUAGUGUAGUUAACACCUGCACUAUUUGACGUUACCUACAGAAGAAGCACCGGCUAACUCCGUGCCAGCAGCCGCGGUAAUACGGAGGGUGCGAGCGUUAAUCGGAAUUACUGGGCGUAAAGCGCAUGCAGGCGGCCUGUUAAGUCAGAUGUGAAAGCCCGGGGGCUUAACCUCGGAAUUGCAUUUGAAACUGGCAGGCUAGAGUCUUGUAGAGGGGGGUAGAAUUUCAGGUGUAGCGGUGAAAUGCGUAGAGAUCUGAAGGAAUACCAGUGGCGAAGGCGGCCCCCUGGACAAAGACUGACGCUCAGAUGCGAAAGCGU
rnacentral:rRNA from 1 species